AGUGUGCAAUCAGUGGCAUUAAUAUAUUCACAUUUUUGUGCAAACAUGACUGCAAUUCAUUUCCGUAACUCUUUUCAUCUUGCAAAACUGAAAUUCUGUACUCAUUAAACAGUUGCUCCAGAUUCCUUCCUCUCCCAGCCCCUGAAAACCACCAUUAUUUCUGUCUCUCUGAAUUUGACUACUCUGGAUACCUGAUAGAUUGGAAAACACACAGUGUUUAUUCUUUUGUGCCUGGAUUACCUCAAGUAGCAUAUGUCCUCAAAGUUCACCCAUGUUGGGUCCUUUAUAAGGCUAAAUAAUAUUCCAUUUUAUGCAUACAUCAAACUUUAUCUGUUCCUCUACACUUGGAUGGACACUAAGGUUGCUUCCACCUUUGGGCUUUUAUGAACAAUGUUGCUAUGAACACAGGUACACAAAUUUACAUCCAAGUCUCUGCUUCAUAAUUCUUUUGAUUUAUACCCAUAAAUGGGAUUGCUGGAUCCUAUGGUAGUUCUAUUUUCAUUUUUUUGAAGAAAGCACACUGUUUUCCACAGGGGCUGAACCAUUUUACAUUCCCUACAAUGAUGCAUGAGGAUUCCAGUUUCUCCAAACCCUCUUAAUGUUUGUUUUGUUUUCCAUAGUAGUCAUCCUCCUGGUGGAUGUGAGGUGGUAUCUCAUUGUGGGUUUUUUAAAAAAUAUUUUUUAGUUGUUGAUGGGCCUUUAUUUUAUUUAUUUGUAUAUGGUGCUGAGAAUCGAACCCAGUGCCUCAUGCACGCUAGGCAAGGGCUGAGCCACAAUCCCAGCUGCUCAUUGUGGUUUUGAUUUGGUGUUUCCCUAAUGAUUACUGAUGUUGAAUAUCUUUCAUGUGCCUUUUGGCCAUUUUUAUAGUUUCUAUGCAGAAAUGUCUACUCAAGGUCCUUUGCCUCUUUUUUCCUUUUGAAGUGAAAUUUACAUAUGAUAAAAUGUGCACACCUUAAGCGGACCAUUAGAUGAAUUCUGACAAAUGCAUCUCGAACUUCUGCCAAGGGGUGGAAAAUUACCAUCAUUCCAGAAAUUUCCCUCAAACCCCUUCCCAGUCCUUUCUUUACUCCCCGCCCUCCAGAGGCAACCACAAUUCUGGGGGGUUCUCUGCCAUAGAUUAAUUUUGCCUGUAACAGAACAUUAAAUAUGUGGCUCAUACAGUGCUUUUGUGUCCGGCUUCUUUCACUCAGCAAAAUGGUUUUGAGAUUCAUCCACUUUGUGAAUAUUAGUUGUCACUCCUUUUGAUUGCUGAGCAGUAUUCUUUUGUAUAAAUAGGCCAGAGUUUGUUUAUCUUUUCUUUUGUCGGUGGACUGGGCUGUUUCCAGUUUAGGGCUCUAAUGAAAAAAGCUGGGAACAAUCUUGUUAAGUCCUAUUUUUUAUUAUAACAAAAGCAAAAUGUCAUGAGCUUGAAGCUUUGAUACAAAUCUCCAACUAAGCCUGAUAACUCUUGGGGGCAGAAAAAUAAACAGUAAGUAAGAGCUGCCCUUUUGUGGAGGGUUUACAAUGU
rnacentral:lncRNA from 1 species